GUAUGCGUGCUGGUCAUCCAGGAAGAGGAGACUGGAUGCACACGUGUUGCUCAUCUGGGCACAGAAGGAAGCUGGAAAAGUUGGGGGAACUGGGAGUUUCUCUCUCAUUCCACUCUCUUCAUUCGCUUCGAGAACAAUUUUUCUCGAGCUCUCUCUCAAGCUCGGAACUCCUGGCAGGCAAGAAUGAAGACUCAGAAUGGGAAAGUUAUGGCUGGAGAUUUGCCACCUUUAAUGGUGAGAUUAAAGGCGUUUAGAGAAACGUAUUCUGAGGCGGACAUCAGAGGUAUCUUAAGUGGGUUGGAUUCUGACUUCGGUGAUGAGAUUCAUCCUUCCUUAAGGUGAUUCAUAUUGUGCAAUGUUCAGUUGAAUGCAUGUAAAAGCCAAGCUGUUUAUCUUAUCGACCUCAUUCACUCACGUGUUCCUCUGUUCAUUCAUGAUUGUGUUGAAUUUAUUCAGGUUAAAUGUGUCUUGUUCAUUCAUGAUUUUCUAGUCAUGAUCUAAAGCAACAUACCAAUUGUAGUGUGGAUACAAAUUUCAUCCCGAGUUGAUGAAUUGGUGAAACACCACCUAUUGAACAAGAAACAUCAUUAGCCUAAUUCACAACACCUGAAAAAAGGGGAGGGUGUCCAAUGAGGCUUCGAUGCCUAGGUUAGAGAAUAAUUUGAAUAAGUUAUAACAGAGGAAGUAUAUUCUUG